CCUCCCUUCCCAGGUCUUCUCACUGGAAGAGGCUAUGGAGACAGCAGAUAGGAACCACCUCUUUCUAUUCUUCACCUUUCUGGCAGUGACAGCAAUAACAGCAACAAACGUAACACCAAUGCCAGCACAAAAAAAAUUAGCUCAGCAAUUCAAUCAGUUGAGCAUCAAAACUGCACCAACUUUUUUUAUUUUCCUGAAGUCAGAACAUGAGCCUUGUUUGGGGACCCUGAUCCACCAUCAAUGGGCUCUCACUGCAGCCCACUGCUUCUUGCCGUGAGUGAUGGGGGUCCUGGAGGGAAAGGACUUCCCCCUUAGUCACUGGGAUUGCUCAGGGGGUACCGAGGCUCAGCCUUUAAGAGACAGGGACAGGGGAUUCUCAAACCUGAGAAGUGGUUGGAAGGAGGCAGGAAGUAGAUCUAUGUGGUUAUAAGUUAGAUUCUUGAAUGGGAUGAUGUAGACAGGGGGAACUGGGGAAGCCAAGGACCAAGGGAUGAACCAAUAGGGAAUACAAGCCCACAUAUAGUAUGAUACAAAUCAAAGAAUUAUGGAACUGCAAUGGAAAUUGCUCAUUUUCCAGAUAAGAAGAUAGGGGUUUUGGCAAGUGAUAGAACUCAUGCCAAGUCACAAAGCAAGUUAGGGGGAGAUAGGAUGCAAGAUGAGUAAUAAAAUAAUGUCUCCUUUCUCUACCAAUUUUUCAUGGCCUGUUCCAGAUUUCUUGAGAUAGAUAUUGCUGCUGCAAGUGAUGAGGGUUUCUUAAAAACUGGGGGGAACUUAAGAGCCAUGCUUACUGUCCAACACCCAAAUUUCACCCGGGAUUCUUCUGAGCAUGACCUCAUGCUUGUCAAGUUGACAAAGCCCCUAAAGCCCAAUGAUGAGGUGAAGCUGGUCGAUCUGCCCAGUACCAUGGAGGACAGAAGAGAGGACACGUGCACUGUUUCUGGCUGGGGGUGGGCCUGGAAGAAUUUCGAGACAGAUCCUGAUACCGAGGCAAACCAGACUGUCUUUUGGUUCUCUAAUGAAAACUGCCAAGAGUCUCCAAUAAGGAAAUUUCCUGUCAAAAUCACAGAGAACAUGUUCUGUGCGGGGUCAUCUCUGGAGAGCACGCACUCCUGUAAGGAAAUAGAUGCUGCCCCAAUCCUGUGCCAAAACCAGCUCCAAGGGAUCCUCUCCUGGGCAGAGGGGUGCAUUCUGAGAGGUGAUAUUGGCUACUACACCAAGGUUUCCCACUACACAGAGUGGAUUCUCAGGGUCAUCCGUACCAACUGAGCUCUCUGUAGUCCCUCUCCCUCUAACCUCAGAACAAGAUGGGAACUUGGCUGCAAGAAGUUUUCUGUUCCUUCAGUUCUCUUGACUUCUCUUGUCCUUUCUCAGUCCCAGCUUGAAUGAUUAUCAAAGAACUUGAGCUGGAUACUAUUCUCAUAAACGGGAUAACUUCUCACUACUUCCUUCCUCUCCUCCAACUUCCUACUUACCUGCCGUGGUUUCCCCAGACUUUUCUGGAGCUGUUCUCCACCCACCGCCCUCCAGACGACAUGUAGGCCCCAGGAAUGUGACAGUGAGAUUGUGGGCACCUCGGUGGUGCCUCCUUUUGUCUGACAUUAUUAGUGUUAGUCCAGGGUCUGUGCCUCUCACCCCAUCGUAUCUAGUAAGGCUGCAGUAAAUGCAGGAUGUUAAAUAGGCUGUUAGCAACAUAAUUAUUAAAAAUAAAGGCUAUCAUUUUAUGAAAACAACAAGUAUAAGGGUUUCAAAAAGGUUAAGAGUUGAGGGAAUGGGGAGAGGAGUUAAAUGGGUCAGACCACCAACAGGAAAGGAGGGAUGAUCUGAGAGAUCUUUCUAAAUGCUAAGCACAGAAAAAUCUAAGAUGGCUGGAAUGAGAUUACUAGAAAAACAGGGAAAUACUGAAACUUACAUGACUAUAAUUGUGUCCCUGUGUAAGUGUGCAAAUAUACAUUUGUGUGUAUAGAUUGGAAGGGGUUGUGCACAGAAUGAGCCAUUGUUUUAAGUAUGUUUUUUUUUCUUAAAAAAAAAUUUUUUUAUUGAUUUCAGAGAGGAAGGGAGAGGGAGAGAGAGAUAGAGAAACAUCACUGAUGAAAGAGAAUCAUUGAUCAGCUGCCUCCUGCACGCCUCCUAAUGGGGAUCGAGCCCACAACCUGGGCAUGUGCCUUUGACUGGACCAUUCAGUCUGCAGGCUGACACUCUAUCCACUGAGUCAAAUCGGGUAGGGCUGUUUUGUUUUUUUAAAAUAUAUUUUUAUUGAUUUCAGAGAGGAAGGGAGCGGGAGAGAGAUAGAAACAUCAAUGAUGAGAAUCAGUGGUCGGCUGCUUCCUGCUCGCCCCACACUGGGAAUAAUCGAGACCACAAUACGGUCAUGUGCCCUUGACCAGAAUCGAACCUGGGACCUUUAGGUCUGCAGGCUGAUUCUCUAUCUACUGAGCCAAACCGGCUAGUUUUUUAUUUUCUAUAUUUCUUUUAUAUCUGGGGUGACCUUGCUGGCCAGGGAAAGACUUUUCCUCUCAAAGCUAACAAAUUCCUAGAAAUAGCAAAUGACUACCCCCAUCACAUGCUUUCCAUAUACAAACAAACCAACUCAGAGCCCACACUCCCAACCAUCUCUUUUAUCCAUCUUUCACAAACCAGGCCAAUAUUUCCCUGCCCUAAAUGACCCCAGGGUCAGGAAUUAGACAACUAAAGACCACCACCCUAGCCCAGCACCCACUGAAAUGAUUCAGAUUACACAAUCCUGAACUUGCUCACACUGGCCUGCCCUGCCUGCCCAUGGCCUCUUUCAGAAACCACAGGAAAGGCUUGUGCCUGUGGCUUCCCUUCCCUCCUGCUGCUUCCUGCCUGGGCCGGCAGGCUCUUCCUCACAUAUCCCUGCUUGGCCUGGCUUGCCCCUUAGUGAACUCUCUUCAUGGUGUUGGCCUCUCAGUGUUCUCACUCAGUUAUCUCUACAAUUAAAAUCCUGGGUACAAUCAAAACACGCAUCUAAGAUUGUCAAACUACAGCAGGAACGCUGGGGAGGGUGGCGGGGGGGCGGGGGAGGCGUAAGAAAUCAACCAAAAGACUUGUAUGCAUGCAUAUAAGCAUAACCAAUGGACCCAAGACACUGGGGGACGGGGGAUGUGAGGGCAUGUGCCGGGGAGGUAGGGGAAGCCAGGGGAAGGUCAAUGGGGAAAAAAAGGAGACAUAUGUACUACUAUUUGUAAUACUUUAAACAAUAAAAUGAAAUAAAUA